AUGAACGCUGGCGGCGUGCUUAACACAUGCAAGUCGAGCGAAGUGGCAGCUGUAGCAAUACAGUAUGUGCUUAGCGGCAGACGGGUGAGUAACACGUAGACAAUCUACCUUCUAGAGGGGGAUAGCCCGCCGAAAGGCGGGGUAAUACCGCGUAAGAUCAAGUCUCGGCAUCGGGAUCUGAUGGAACGUCCGCAAGGACGGCUAGAAGAGGAGUCNGCGGCCUAUCAGCUAGUUGGCAGGGUAAUGGCCCACCAAGGCAACGACGGGUAUCCGGCCUGAAAGGGUGAUCGGACACACUGACACUGAGACACGGGUCAGACUCCUACGGGAGGCAGCAGUGAGGAAUUUUGGACAAUGGGGAAACCCUGAUCCAGCGACGCCGCGUGGAGGAUGAAGGCUUUCGGGUUGUAAACUCCUGUC
rnacentral:rRNA from 1 species